AGAGUUUGAUCCUGGCUCAAGACGAACGCUGGCGGCGCGCCUAACACAUGCAAGUCGAACGAGAGAUGAGGAGCUUGCUCUUCAAAUCGAGUGGCGAACGGGUGAGUAACGCGUGAGGAACCUGCCUCAAAGAGGGGGACAACAGUUGGAAACGACUGCUAAUACCGCAUAAGCCCACAGCUCGGCAUCGAGCAGAGGGAAAAGGAGUGAUCCGCUUUGAGAUGGCCUCGCGUCCGAUUAGCUAGUUGGUGAGGUGACGGCCCACCAAGGCGACGAUCGGUAGCCGGACUGAGAGGUUGAACGGCCACAUUGGGACUGAGACACGGCCCAGACUCCUACGGGAGGCAGCAGUGGGGAAUAUUGCACAAUGGGGGAAACCCUGAUGCAGCGACGCCGCGUGGAGGAAGAAGGUCUUCGGAUUGUAAACUCCUGUUGUUGAGGAAGAUAAUGACGGUACUCAACAAGGAAGUGACGGCUAACUACGUGCCAGCAGCCGCGGUAAAACGUAGGUCACAAGCGUUGUCCGGAAUUACUGGGUGUAAAGGGAGCGCAGGCGGGAGAACAAGUUGGAAGUGAAAUCCAUGGGCUCAACCCAUGAACUGCUUUCAAAACUGUUUUUCUUGAGUAGUGCAGAGGUAGGCGGAAUUCCCGGUGUAGCGGUGGAAUGCGUAGAUAUCGGGAGGAACACCAGUGGCGAAGGCGGCCUACUGGGCACCAACUGACGCUGAGGCUCGAAAGUGUGGGUAGCAAACAGGAUUAGAUACCCUGGUAGUCCACACCGUAAACGAUGAUUACUAGGUGUUGGAGGAUUGACCCCUUCAGUGCCGCAGUUAACACAAUAAGUAAUCCACCUGGGGAGUACGACCGCAAGGUUGAAACUCAAAGGAAUUGACGGGGACCCGCACAAGCAGUGGAGUAUGUGGUUUAAUUCGACGCAACGCGAAGAACCUUACCAAGUCUUGACAUCCCUUGACGAUACUGGAAACAGUAUUUCUCUUCGGAGCAAGGAGACAGGUGGUGCAUGGUUGUCGUCAGCUCGUGUCGUGAGAUGUUGGGUUAAGUCCCGCAACGAGCGCAACCCUUAUGGUCAGUUACUACGCAAGAGGACUCUGGCCAGACUGCCGUUGACAAAACGGAGGAAGGUGGGGAUGACGUCAAAUCAUCAUGCCCUUUAUGACUUGGGCUACACACGUACUACAAUGGCGUUAAACAAAGAGAAGCAAGACCGCGAGGUGGAGCAAACUCAGAAACAACGUCCCAGUUCGGACUGCAGGCUGCAACUCGCCUGCACGAAGUCGGAAUUGCUAGUAAUCGUGGAUCAGCAUGCCACGGUGAAUACGUUCCCGGGCCUUGUACACACCGCCCGUCACACCAUGAGAGCCGGGGGGACCCGAAGUCGGUAGUCUAACCGCAAGGAGGACGCCGCCGAAGGUAAAACUGGUGAUUGGGGUGAAGUCGUAACAAGGU
rnacentral:rRNA from 1 species